rfam:Tupaia chinensis contig190202, whole genome shotgun sequence.
UUCCAUGUGUCUUUGGGACCUGUCAAGUGUGUCAGUCUCUCCUCCUAGCCAUGGAAGAGCAUGUUAUCAUUUAUUGGCAAAGCAGUCACAGUUUCAUUGGUAUCAGAUUCUGAAUUGCACAAGUAGCAUUC